rnacentral:tRNA from 1 species
GCCGGAAUGGCGGAAUUGGCAGACGCACAGGACUUAAAAUCCUGCGGUCUUUAUCGAUCGUGCCGGUUCGAUUCCGGCUUCCGGCACCA